rnacentral:lncRNA from 1 species
GUGUUAAGUAGGGAUAAGUUUUAUUGUUUUUUUUUUCUCCAUAGAGUGAGCCAAUUAUCUCCCCAUCUACUAAACGACCUUUCAUAAGUUCUACAUAUUUUUUGCAAAUUAGAUACACUGGUAUGAAACAAAUAGCAUCUGAAAGAGGGGAGAGAGAGGGUGAUAUGAGUGGAAGAAAAGAAAUAAAACUCCAGCUCCUCCCCACUAAAUACUAACUUCCUUCCAAAUGCCUGCCCUCCUGCUACCUGUGAGUGGUGACAUUUCCCCUUUCAGUGCUUGGGGCAUAGCACUCAUUUGCACAAAAGCCGACUAAAAAUAGGCCAACUCUUGUAUCAGACUAAACUGCAGGAGUAAAGCCUGCUACUUAAGGAGCUGUUGCUUAAGGAGAAACAGAGAUGAUAGUUCAGGACCCUUCAACACUCAGAAGAAGGCAGGAGCAAAUCCAGAGAGGUGGAGUCCACAAUCAAAUUCUAUUUAGGGUCUGGGAUCAGCAAAGGUGGAGGCUUGCACCAAAUGGCCAGCAUCACUUGUUCUGCUGAGGUCUGCUCUGGGUCUACAGUCUAAGUCUUUACUCACCUUUAUGCCUCAAAGAUGGGUGAAUAUUGAGUGUUUACUGCCCCCCUUGGCCCUGUCCUUAUAAAUCAGCUGCCAUGCUUGGAUGGUUGCAGAUGGGUUCAGAAGUGAAUGAAUCUCAUCUUGUUUUUAUUCCCAAGGAACAAAACUUUCUGGAAGUGGCAGCAUCUUCAAUUCUAAUGAUAAGCUUGGUAUUAAUCCACAUGGUUACUGGACCCUACUGACUCCAAAGGAAAAGCACAACCAAGAUUAGAAAACACUUUCAAUCAGUCAUUUUUUUCCAAACAAAAAUGGAAUCCGAUUACUUUCAUAACUAAAGAAUGAAGGAAGACAGGCAGAUUUCUGUCACAUUCAUUCACCUCUCUUCAACAUGGUUUUGCUCCCCCGGCCCUGAUGCAGAGGCUAUGUGCCCCUGAUACUCUGCAGGGAAAAAGGUUUAGCUGGAAGGGGCUGGAUGGGACAAUGCCCUUCUCGUGGGUACAGUGGAAAUGAGACAUGCGCCAACUUGCCUUAGAAGGCAGCCAGGCCCUUUCCACUGGGAUGUAAGCUCCAUUCACUGGCUUUUUCAACCAGUGCAUCUCCAGUGAUGAGAAAACUGUCUGACCAUAUGAAAAAAAAAAAAA